AGUGAACGCUGGCGGUAGGCCUAACACAUGCAAGUCGAACGGCAGCACAGGAGAGCUUGCUCUCUGGGUGGCGAGUGGCGGACGGGUGAGGAAUACAUCGGAAUCUACUCUGUCGUGGGGGAUAACGUAGGGAAGCUUACGCUAAUACCGCAUACGACCUACGGGUGAAAGCAGGGGACCUUCGGGCCUUGCGCGAUUGAAUGAGCCGAUGUCGGAUUAGCUAGUUGGCGGGGUAAAGGCCCACCAAGGCGACGAUCCGUAGCUGGUCUGAGAGGAUGAUCAGCCAGACUGGAACUGAGACACGGUCCAGACUCCUACGGGAGGCAGCAGUGGGGAAUAUUGGACAAUGGGCGCAAGCCUGAUCCAGCCAUACCGCGUGGGUGAAGAAGGCCUUCGGGUUGUAAAGCCCUUUUGUUGGGAAAGAAAUCCAGCUGGCUAAUACCCGGUUGGGAUGACGGUACCCAAAGAAUAAGCACCGGCUAACUUCGUGCCAGCAGCCGCUGUAAGAC
rnacentral:rRNA from 1 species